rnacentral:rRNA from 1 species
AGAGUUUGAUCAUGGCUCAGGACGAACGCUGGCGGCGUGCUUAACACAUGCAAGUCGAGCGGAAAGGCCCUUCGGGGUACUCGAGCGGCGAACGGGUGAGUAACACGUGAGUAACCUGCCCCUAGCUCUGGGAUAGCUCCGGGAAACCGGGAUUAAUACCAGAUACGACCACUUUAGACAUCUGUCGUGGUGGAAAGGAUUCCGGCUAGGGAUGGGCUCGCGGCCUAUCAGCUUGUUGGUGGGGUAACGGCCUACCAAGGCGACGACGGGUAGCCGGCCUGAGAGGGCGACCGGCCACACUGGGACUGAGACACGGCCCAGACUCCUACGGGAGGCAGCAGUGGGGAAUAUUGCGCAAUGGGCGAAAGCCUGACGCAGCGACGCCGCGUGGGGGAUGAAGGCCUUCGGGUUGUAAACCCCUUUCAGCAGGGACGAAGCGAGAGUGACGGUACCUGCAGAAGAAGCGCCGGCUAACUACGUGCCAGCAGCCGCGGUAACACGUAGGGCGCAAGCGUUGUCCGGAAUUAUUGGGCGUAAAGAGCUCGUAGGCGGUCUGUUGCGUCCGCUGUGAAAUCUCGGGGCUUAACCCCGAGCCUGCAGUGGAUACGGGCAGACUAGAGGUAGGUAGGGGAGAAUGGAAUUCCUGGUGUAGCGGUGAAAUGCGCAGAUAUCAGGAGGAACACCGGUGGCGAAGGCGGUUCUCUGGGCCUUACCUGACGCUGAGGAGCGAAAGCGUGGGGAGCGAACAGGAUUAGAUACCCUGGUAGUCCACGCUGUAAACGUUGGGCGCUAGGUGUGGGAUCCUUCCACGGAUUCCGUGCC